UAAUAAAUAGUUAAUUACUUACAGACUUGCAGACUACUCAGACUAGUACUUUAUUUACUCUCUCUCUCUUAGUCUCUUUUAAUUCUACAGAGCUUCAAGCCUUCAACUACGUUACUCUUUCGAUUCGGUCUUCACUCUUCACUCUCCCUACUCCGGUACUCCCUAGUCCCUUCUUCUUCAGUCUUCUACCGCCACUACCGUGCCGUUCUUCUUCCAUUAAAGCUCAGCGCCUCACCCUGCCUUCUCUCAAAGCUCAGCUAGCGCCGGCCGCCGGCCGCCGAGGACACGAAGUCGCGAACGUCGCAACCAACUGAACCAUAUCCAACGACUAGCGCCGACAGGCGACGGUAAGUCGUUACUCGUUAGAUGAUCUGUACUGUAGUCUGUAGAUCUGUAGUUCUGCACUCUUAGAUCUGAGAUCUGUAGUCCAUGCUUUUGGGGAAACACUUGUAUGAUGUUUUUGUAGUACAAUGCUUCCUAAAAUUCUACUUGAAUCAAACUUUUGCCAAUCUUUUUGAUUACAUAUAUUUGAGAAUUUUACUGUUAUCUGUUAAGAUAACUAUCGUCUAUCAAACACAUCUAUCUACAUGCACAUGAGAAUUUUAUUGUUGUCUGUUAAGAUAACUUGUAUGUUGUCUGUUAAGAAUUUUACUGUUUCUCUUAUUUGCACUAUUGAAAUUUGCGAAUUGAAACUCAACUUUUGCAUUCAUGUGUAAAUUCAUCAAAAAUGGGAUUAUGGGACUGAGUUACAAAUUGUGAAGUUACAAAUUGGGACUGAGUUACAAAUGGGAUUAUUUGUGCUCAAGAUUGGCUUCGCCGAAGCAACGAACCAAUUGAUAUCGAAGAAAAGUUAGAAUCCCUUGAAGAAAUUGAAAAAGGUUUCAAAUUGAAAAAGGUACAUCACAGUAACACAAUAAAACUUUGUAUUGUUUAUUUAUUUUUUUGUAAUGUAGUUUAAAUUCUUCUUAAUAAAUUAUGAUUUGCUCACAUUUGUCUUUUAAAAAUUGCAGAAUUUUCAGCAGGCGAUUUAGAUGCAUCAAUCUUGGAUAUGUAAUAUGGUUGAUUUGUUCGAGAAUGUGGACUUGAUAGUUGAGAGAAUUGUGCCUUGUGCCGUUGUGCGUUGUUUGUUUUUAAUCUUGGAUUAGUUGGAUAUGUAAUAUGGUUGAUUGGAUUACUUGCUAGUGAGUAGUGGGUACUUUAGUUCUGUUAUGUUCAGCUGAUAAAAUGAUGUUAUGUUCUGUUAUGUUCAGUUUAUCAGGUUAUGUUUUAUCAUAUGGUUAUGACUUAUGAGGUUAUNNN
rnacentral:lncRNA from 1 species